UUUCUUAUUUGUAUUUGUGUUUCAUUUUUCGUUUCAGGUACUUGUGAAUUUGUAUGCACACGCGAUCAUCCAACUCAGAACUAACUCCAGCACAGGACAACAUAAACGGAAAAGGUUGGAAGGUGAGUGUGCGAAGAAAUUUAUAAGCACAGCUAGAUAGUACAACAUUCAGAAUGGCGGAAGAACAAAGACUUGAGCAAAGAGAAGAGCAUCGGGCUCUAAG
rnacentral:lncRNA from 1 species